AUCACGGAGAAGGAUCUCACCGACAUGGCCAACGACGGUCUGAUCCCCCACGGAGCAGCAAGGCUCCCGGGGAACGAGUGGCAACCCCAGCCGGAAGAGGGUGAGUGUGUUCUUCUGGCUACCCACGUCGACCGCGGGUUUUCUUUGCCGCCGAGUGUUUUCUUCCGUGGUUUCUUGAACUUCUUUGGAGCGCAACUCCACCACUUCAAUCCGAACUCUAUCGCCUACCUUGCUGCCUUUGUAUCCAUGUGUGAGAACUUUCUGGGUUGCCGACCGCACUGGGGUCUGUUCAAGCAUAUAUUCACGUGUCGCUCUCAGACCGUGAAGAAGGCGAGUCCAGAUGACGACAAAACCAAGGUUAUUCAGAUGUGUGGAGGUCUGGGGAUCCAGAUGAGGAACAAGAGCACCUUCCCAACUAUGACGCUUCCCGAGUCGGUCAGAGGCUGGCAGUCGACUUGGUUCUACUGCCAGAGCGAGUCGACGCCGGGGCAGUCGAGUGGCCUCCCUCCGUUUACCAUGGACCGAGCCAACAAACCCUCCUCUCUGAAGGUGCUCCCGGAGGAGAAAGCCGACGUGAAGAUGUUGAUGGAGCGU
rnacentral:rRNA from 1 species